rnacentral:misc_RNA from 1 species
GAUAUAUAUUCUUUUGCUCUCAAGCUCACCCACAUGAUGCCAAACCAAAGCGACAAGAUAAAAUACCAAAAAACUCAACGAUGUUUGAAUAACUGAAAAAAUAAAUUGUUGCUUCUCAAAUUUCACAAACUUAAUGUCUAAUCCAGCAGUUGGAUCCUGGAAUGGCAGAGCUUCCCCCAUGUAUCAAGGUUAGCUGUUUUCUUUAUUUUACAAAAGGUCGAUGAGCUUUCUGAAUCCUUCCACAGAACUAGAAUCCUGCAAACACGCUCUGCAGAUAAACAGCCAACCAGAUGAUUCCAAGGGGUUCAGUAUUUGUAUCAACAAAGCUCCUACUGGUACUGAGGAUCAUCAUAAUGACCUCCAUUCUUAGCAUCAUCAUUGCUGUUCCUGUCAUUGUCGGGCUUUUGGCCAUCUCUAUUACCAGAUUCUGUCUGUUCUCUCUCCCGGUUCCACUGCUCAAUCUUAGCCCUUCUUUCAACACUGCUCUCUCUAACAGGAGGACUUCUAUUCUUCUAUUUCUCCUUCCUGCAGGGCUUCUGCUUCGUCCUCCUCUGCGUCCAGGACUUCGGCUUCUAUGCCUCCUGCCCCUCUCAUGGUGACGAUCCCUAUCAUCAUCCCGUCUACUAGAACUGCGAUUAUUAUGCGAGCGUUCAUCAAAACCACGGUGCCUGUUAGGACUAUGGCUUCUACUGCGGCUACGUCUUCGCCUAUUCCGCCCAAAUAAGCGCCUCCUUAACUCCCUGCUAAUUUUCUUCAGAUGCAUGAAGUUGCAGUAGCCACCUCGAUUGCAUACAUUUUCCUCAUACUGCCUACAUGUAGCUUCACGGAAAUCCGUAACAGGAGAGAAGUCAACAAUGAUUGGGCGCCCUGCAUAAAACCUUCCAUUUACCCGUUUAGAUUGUUAAGGGCAUUCGCUGCGUGUUCUUCUUCUCUGAACUGAACAUAAAC